rnacentral:rRNA from 1 species
AUUGAACGCUGGCGGCAUGCCUUACACAUGCAAGUCGAACGGCAGCACGGGAGCAAUCCUGGUGGCGAGUGGCGAACGGGUGAGUAAUGUAUCGGAACGUGCCUUGUCGUGGGGGAUAACGUAGCGAAAGCUACGCUAAUACCGCAUACCAUCUAAGGAUGAAAGCGGGGGAUCGCAAGACCUCGCGCGACAAGAGUGGCCGAUAUCAGAUUAGGUUGUUGGUGGGGUAAAGGCUCACCAAGGCGACGAUCCGUAGCUGGUCUGAGAGGACGACCAGCCACACUGGAACUGAGACACGGUCCAGACUCCUACGGGAGGCAGCAGUGGGGGAAUUUUUGGACAAUGGGCGCAAGCCUGAUCCAGCAAUUCCGCGUGAGUGAAGAAGGCCUUCGGGUUGUUAAAGACUCUUUCGUCAAGGAAA